GCAGCAGUAGGGAAUAUUGGGCAAUGGGCGGAAGCCUGACCCAGCCAUGCCGCGUGCAGGAAGACGGCGUUCUGCGUUGUAAACUGCUUUUAUCAGGGAAGAAAAGGCCCAUGCGUGGGAAAUUGCCGGUACCUGGUGAAUAAGCACCGGCUAACUCCGUGCCAGCAGCCGCGGUAAUACGGAGGGUGCGAGCGUUGUCCGGAUUUAUUGGGUUUAAAGGGUGCGUAGGCGGCUUUUUAAGUCAGCGGUGAAAGUUUUCGGCUCAACCGGAAAAAUGCCGUUGAUACUGGGGAGCUUGAGUCACGGAAGGGUACAUGGAAUUGGUGGUGUAGCGGUGAAAUGCAUAGAUACCAUCAGGAACACCGAUAGCGAAGGCAUUGUACUUGCCGUGAACUGACGCUGAGGCACGAAAGCGCGGGUAGCGAACAGGAUUAGAUACCCUGGUAGUCCGCGCCGUAAACGAUGAUCACUCGCUGUUAUCCCCUUUGCGG
rnacentral:rRNA from 1 species